rnacentral:rRNA from 1 species
AUUGAACGCUGGCGGCAGGCCUAACACAUGCAAGUCGAACGAGUGGCGGACGGGUGAGUAAUGUCUGGGAAACUGCCUGAUGGAGGGGGAUAACUACUGGAAACGGUAGCUAAUACCGCAUACCAUCAGGUGUACACAGAUGGGAAGAGCUUGUUGGUGGGGUGACGGCUCACCAAGGCGACGAUCACUGGCUGGUCCGAGAGGAUGACUAGGCACACUGGAACUGUGACACUGUCCAGACUGCUACGGGAGGCAUCAGUGGGGAAUAUUGCAAAAUGGGCGCAAGCCUGAUGCAGCCAUGCCGCGUGUAUGAAGAAGGCCUUCGGGUUGUAAAGUACUUUCAGCGGUGAGGCGUUACCCGCAGAAGAAGCGCCGGCUAACGCCGUGCCAGCAGCCGCGGUAAUAC